GGGCGGUUAGCUCAGCGGUGGAGCGCACGGUUCACAUCCGUGAGGCCAUAGGUUCGAAUCCUAUACCGCCCACCA
rnacentral:tRNA from 1 species